UGCGGCUCCAGGGGGCGGAACCGAGCCGUCUCCUCAGGACCUACGCAGGAGGCGCCGUCAUCCCUACAGGGACACCUGAGAGGGCCCAGCCUCCUCCUCCUCAGGACCUACUCGGGAGACGCCGCUGGCUCUCUAGGAACACCUGGGGACCGUGGCCAGGGACGACCCAGCCUCCUUCUCCUCAGCUCCUCAGGAACGACUGGGGAAGCUGUGGCUUCAUGGUCCCCGAGGCUGCCCGAGGAAAGACAGAGUCUCAACCAGGCUGGAGUGCAGUGGCGUGAUCUCGGCUCACUGCAACCUCCGCCUCCCAGGAGAAUCACUUGAACUGGGAGAUGGAGGUUGCAGUGAGCUGAGAUCGCACCAGUGCACUCCAGCCUGGGCAACAGAGUGAGACUCCAUCUUAUAAAAGGAAAAAAGAAAGAAAAGAAAAAUUCCAUAUCUGAGUGUUUACUCCUGAGUUUUUGAGAUUGUUAUUAAGAU
rnacentral:lncRNA from 10 species